rnacentral:rRNA from 1 species
GUCCUACUGACUGUGCAAAGGGCGCAAAGGCAACCCGCCUAUUUAUUGUAGGCAGGAGUCAGCGGCUAGACGAUAGAAGCUCUGUCUCUCUUUAUUAUUAUUUGAAUUUGACUUUAGGGCGAAGAGGCCAUAAUUUAUUACUGGGACAAGAAGACACCCUAUGGAGCUUUACUUUUAUUGUAAUUUACCUUACCACUAAAACCCAUAGUUGGGGCAACUUUCUUUUAUGUAAAACAAAGAAUGAAUAAUAAAUAAUCUAAUUUAGGUGAACUAACAAGUUUUAAUUAAAAGAAAUAGUUACCUUAGGGAUAACAGCGUAUACUCAACUUGAGAGUACUCAUUUGACAGAAGAGCUUGCGACCUCGAUGUUGGAUCAGAAAACCCUGGAUGUGCACCAGCCUCUAAAGGGAGGUUG